ACAAGGUUCAGGUUUACAGCAACGCUAUCUGUACUUGUGGAAGCAGGAGACAACUGUAAGGAGAAGAAACCUCGUUGGCUCUUUAAUUUGCUCUUGGAGGGAAAAUAUAGAGAACGCAGGAAAACACCCAGAUUGAAAUUUGGCUGCCCAAGCUGCAAAUACUUAGGAAACCAAACAACUGUAGGCCCUGAAGAAACGUGGCAUCAUCUCCUGUGUUACUGUGGAGCUUAUUUCAUCACUCAACUCUGUUGGUAUUAAGUGGUGAAUAAAGUAGACAAGAUACUAAUCCUUAUGGAGCUCUGUGUCUAGUGAACAUGAAAAAGAUAUAUGAAUGAAACAUGGUUAAGGAAAGACACGGUUAGAGGAGAACUGAAGGAAAGAUAGAAACCCAUGCGGCCAGGAGGAGUUGGGAUCUUUUCUGUUGUGUCUCAGAACUUCAGGGUUAAGACCCUUCCUGGGUGAUGGAUAAAGGAAGUCAUUGUCCAGAUGAAAGACUCAUGAACUUGGAGACAGGAAUGAAGCCAUUGAAGCAACUUGGACGUCGGGAAUUCACUGAAGACCAGACUAAAGAGGGGCUUGUUCUAAUAGAAAUUCAUCUAAAAAGUUGGAGAUUCUGUAGAAGAUCUGAUGAAGAGGGCCAAUCACUGAGGAAAAAUGGAUAGCAUCCUAAAACAGUGGGUAGUAAGGGAACCGGUAUGUCUGAUGUUUUAAAGGAAAGAGCAAUUAAAGAAAUCCUUACAGAUUC